rnacentral:rRNA from 1 species
UACGAAGGGGGCUAGCGUUGCUCGGAAUUACUGGGCGUAAAGGGCGCGUAGGCGGAUAGUUUAGUCAGAGGUGAAAGCCCAGGGCUCAACCUUGGAAUUGCCUUUGAUACUGGCUAUCUUGAGUUCGGGAGAGGUGAGUGGAAUGCCGAGUGUAGAGGUGAAAUUCGUAGAUAUUCGGCGGAACACCAGUGGCGAAGGCGGCUCACUGGCCCGGAACUGACGCUGAGACGCGAAAGCGUGGGGAGCAAACAGG